rnacentral:lncRNA from 1 species
UUUUUUUUUUAAGACGGAGUCUUGCUCCGUUGCCCAGGCUGGAUGCAGUGGCACGAUCUCGGCUCACUGCAACCUCCACCUCCUGGGUUCAAGCAAUUCUCCUGCCUCAGCCUCCCGAGUAGCUUGGAUUACAGGCGUGUGCCACCACGCCUGGCUAAUUUUUGUAUGUUUAGGGUUUUGCCAUCUUGGCCAGGCCAGUCUCGAACUCCUGACUUCAGGUGAUCCGCUCACCUCGGCCUCCCAAAGUGCUGAGAUUACAGGCGUGAGCCACCAUGCCUGGCCAAGAAACAUGGGUUCUAAUCCCAAUGCCCCCGCUUCCUAGCUAUGGGACCUUGAUUGAGUCCUGUACCGUGCCUCAGUUUCCCCACUUAUAAAAAGAGGUUACUAAAAAGGAUGCUUCACUCAAGGGUGUGAAGACCCAGUGAAUGAAGUGUUAAUAAGAGCUCCACGUAUAGCGAUGCUGCUGUUCAGCUGCACCAGGGUGGACUCCCUUGACUUGCUGGGAGUUACAAUGAGGAAGGAAGGACCGUUAAACCUGUAGGUCUUUCCAGAGAAAGUGCGUUUCCUAAAACCAAAUCCUGCCCUUGCUCCAAAACUGUCAGUGGUGGUUUCCCAUGACCACGCCACAGUCCCAGGGUCUCCCCUGGCCUUCAAGGCUGGCACAGUCUGACCCUGCCAACGUCCCUAGUGCCACCAUCUGUCAGCCCCUCCUUGCUCCUGCUCCUGGUCUGCACAUGCUGUUCUCUUUGCCAAGAAUGCCAUUUCCCCAGCCCCCUGGUCCCGAUGGGGAACACCUCCUCAUCCUUCAAAGCCAAGCUGGAAGGGAACAUCUUUGGAGAUGCCGCUUGACCUCCCAGGCAGAAGGGGUCAUUCUCCCUGGAGAUGUGGUCACGUCAUUAACCACACUGGGUUAGAAUCAUCAGAAGCUGUUCCUGCCUCUUCCGUCAAGCAAGGGGCUCUGGAGGCCAGAAAAUGCCUAUGAAUCAUGCCCACACCCCCAGAGCCCAGCAUGGGGCGGGCUCAGGUUAGGUCAAUCGUGUUUGAAGACUGAAUAAAUGAAUGUCUUCAUUUGCUACCCUCAG